GCUCCUCCUCCACCCACUUUGACCAUCACUGUUUUAUUUAAUGUGGACUAUUGUUUAUGUAGCCCAAGGAUGUGACAUCUAUCUGGGGAAGCUUGUUCUUUCAAUCAAAUUUUAUGGAGCAUGCAGGCAUUAUGAAUGCAGCAGACCAUCAUAGAAGGAACGGAUAGCAAGUUCGGAGUCACACGGGUCCUCGUGUGAAUACUGACUCUGCCACUUACUGGCAGUUAUUUAUGUGGAUAUAAAUCAUGAAGUCACAAGCUUCCAGAGUGAAUUAAUCUACAGUUGAUAGUAUGAUGCAGGUGAAGACUGGAAGAUAAUUGUUCAUCCUUCAUUUUAAGAACGGAUGCACUUUCUACAUGUUAACAAAUUCCCAAUUUCUUCAGGUAAAGAGGACGAUAAACCACAUGAGAGACAACACUUUUCUGAAAGGACUUGAGCUUUGUAGUCAGAUAGACAUGGUUUUGAAUCUUUGUUCUGCCAUUGCCAGCAGUUUCAAAAACAUUAUCUCACCUCUCCAAACGUCCACUUCCUCUAUUAAAGCAAUGAUGAUAAUAUCUGCUGUUGUGAGUAGCAA